rnacentral:rRNA from 1 species
UACGGGGGGGGCAAGCGUUGUUCGGAAUUACUGGGCGUAAAGGGCUCGUAGGCGGCCAACUAAGUCAGACGUGAAAUCCCUCGGCUUAACCGGGGAACUGCGUCUGAUACUGGAUGGCUUGAGUUUGGGAGAGGGAUGCGGAAUUCCAGGUGUAGCGGUGAAAUGCGUGGAUAUCCGGAGGAACACCGGUGGCGAAGGCGGCUUCCUGGACCGACACUGACGCUGAGGCGCGAAAGCUAGGGGAGCAAACGGG